GACGAACGCUGGCGGCGUGCCUAAUACAUGCAAGUAGAACGCACAGUUUAUACCGUAGCUUGCUACACCAUAGACUGUGAGUUGCGAACGGGUGAGUGACGCGUAGGUAACCUGCCUGGUAGCGGGGGAUAACUAUUGGAAACGAUAGCUAAUACCGCAUAAUAUUAAUUAUUGCAUGAUAAUUAAUUGAAAGGUGCAAUUGCACCACUACCAGAUGGACCUGCGUUGUAUUAGCUAGUAGGUGAGGUAACGGCUCACCUAGGCGACGAUACAUAGCCGACCUGAGAGGGUGAUCGGCCACACUGGGACUGAGACACGGCCCAGACUCCUACGGGAGGCAGCAGUAGGGAAUCUUCGGCAAUGGACGAAAGUCUGACCGAGCAACGCCGCGUGAGUGAAGAAGGGUUUCGGAUCGUAAAGCUCUGUUGUAAGAGAAGAACGGGUGUGAGAGUGGAAAGUUCACACUGUGACGGUAUCUUACCAGAAAGGGACGGCUAACUACGUG
rnacentral:rRNA from 1 species